rnacentral:rRNA from 1 species
UACGGAGGGGGCUAGCGUUGUUCGGAAUUACUGGGCGUAAAGCGCACGUAGGCGGCUUUGUAAGUUAGAGGUGAAAGCCCGGGGCUCAACCCCGGAACUGCCUUUAAGACUGCAUCGCUUGAAUCCAGGAGAGGUGAGUGGAAUUCCGAGUGUAGAGGUGAAAUUCGUAGAUAUUCGGAAGAACACCAGUGGCGAAGGCGGCUCACUGGCUCAUACUGGACGCUGAGGUGCGAAAGCGUGGGGAGCAAACAGG